rnacentral:rRNA from 1 species
CCUACGGGAGGCAGCAGUGAGGAAUAUUGGUCAAUGGACGCGAGCCUGAACCAGCCAAGUCGCGUGAAGGAAGACGGCCCUAUGGAUUGUAAACUUCUUUUGUCCGGGAGCAAAAGCCGCCACGCGUGUCUUUCUGAAAGUACCCUAAGAAUAAGCAUCGGCUAACUCCGUGCCAGCAGCCGCGGUAAUACGGAGGAUUCGAGCGUUAUCCGGAUUUAUUUGGUUUAAAGGGUGCGGAGGGGGGUAGUUAAGUCAGCGGUGAAAUUUAGAGGGUCAACCUCUUAAUAGCCGUUGAUACUGGUAGUCUUGAGUGAAGUUGAGGUAGGCGGAAUGCGUGGUGUAGCGGUGAAAUGCUUAGAUAUCACGCAGAACUCCGAUUGCGAAGGCAGCAUACC